GGGGUGCAUGGGAGGACGCCCAACCAACUGAGCGACACCAGCCAGGGCUAAGAUGAUCAAAUCCUACAGAAAGCUACAAACAGGUGCUUCCUAUUAUUCUUUGCCUCAGGGCUUUCUCCUAAAAUGCCAUAAACAGUUUUAUGUUGUUUCUUUCCUAAAAUCUGAAAGUGACUUUUGUGGGGCAAUCGGGUGGGGGGUGGGGGGGGAGCAUCUGAAGGAUGAGAGGCUUGGCAAAAAAUAAUUUAUUUCCAAGGAUGCUUUAAAUUCAGCCCUUGGGCCUGGUCUGCUCACAGAGACUUAUACAGAGUUCAGCCCUUUCCUGCCUUUCAAAUAGGGUAACUAAUCUUCCUUCAGCCCCUUUAAGGCGCCUACAGGCGAUUCUACUUCCAAUGGGCCCUUUACGGAAAAGGAAGCUUCGUGGCGAACCUCUUUCCUUAGCCCUCCUAUUAAUCCAGCUCAAGUUCUGAAAGCAAACAGCAACAGCCAAAACAAAUACUUUGGAGCCAACACUUAAGCCUCAGCCUCACUUAACAGCAGAAGUAAGUAGGUUUGUUGGUUUAGCAAACAGGAUAGGAGGUGGGGGGGGAGGGGAGGGGAUGAGAAGGGGCCCGCCCCUUGGGAACGGGAUUGGUUCCCUCUCUCCCUGUAGCCGUUCAUCUGGCACCUCGGCGGGGUAGGUGGAGACAAACUUGUCGUUCAGGUGGUGUCAAAAUGAGCCCCGUAGGUAUGGGCUGUCCCCUAAGUUUGUGGUUUUAGAUUUUCAAAGGGACAGACUUAUUGGCUAUGGGACCAAGUCUUCUGUAGGUCGAAAGAUGUCAUCGUAACAGGAGGCGCCAAGGAGCUUAAGGAUAACUCACGCACGACCCAGAGAAAAUGACGAACGUUCCUCGGGGGUUUGAUUUUAGUUUCCUAAAUGACGACGAAGCCAGGAAGAUCCUUCAGGUGCUGGAAAGAAAUGAGGAGCUGCAGAGGGCAGAGAAGGACAGAAUCAGCCUGUGAAUCUGCCUCUGGCUGAGAGACAGACUUUCAGGAAACAUCAGAUGCCAGACCCUGUGAGGAUACAGCAGAGAAAAAAGAAAUGGAUUCUGCCCCGAUGGCUUCGCCCUGUGGUUGGUGCUGCCAGGAAGUACUGGAUCUGUGAACCCCAUGUGCACUUAAUCCCUGGGCUGUACUGCCUCCCACAGUGAAGUAUGAAGAAGUUAAAGUGAUCACCCCCACAACUCGUAACAGCCAACCCUGACCUCUUCUCACUACAAAACUCUUGCUAUUUCUACUGACCAUGAGCUAAUUUUUUAAAUGCUGACCAUUUCUUUUGGCAAUAAAGAAAUGCAAGAUGUUUGCCUUUUUAACUUUCACACAUACUUUUGAAAUAAUUUGUUUUUAAAAAAUACUUGAAUGUUUUGCUGCCCUUUUCUUUAUGCGUUUUAGUAACAUUAAUGUAGUCAUGGCUAGGCUGGUUUCUGUACAUCGAUUGUGGUCAAGGGUUGUA